rnacentral:rRNA from 1 species
UACGGGGGGGGCAAGCGUUGUUCGGAAUUACUGGGCGUAAAGGGCUCGUAGGCGGCCAACUAAGUCAUACGUGAAAUCCCUCAGCUUAACUGGGGAACUGCGUGUGAUACUGGAUGGCUUGGAUUUGGGAGAGGGAUGCGGAAUUCCAGGUGUAGCGGUGAAAUGCGCAGAUAUCGGGAGGAACACCGGUGGCGAAGGCGGGUCUCUGGGCCGAUAUCGACGCUGAGGAGCGAAAGCGUGGGGAGCGAACAGG